AUUGCCCUAGUAACGGCGAGUGAAGCGGCAACAGCUCAAAUUUGAAAUCUGGCGUCUUUGGCGUCCGAGUUGUAAUUUGCAGAGGGCGCUUUGGCAUUGGCAGCGGUCCAAGUUCCUUGGAACAGGACGUCACAGAGGGUGAGAAUCCCGUACGUGGUCGCUAGCCUUUACCGUGUAAAGCCCCUUCGACGAGUCGAGUUGUUUGGGAAUGCAGCUCUAAAUGGGAGGUAAAUUUCUUCUAAAGCUAAAUACUGGCCAGAGACCGAUAGCGCACAAGUAGAGUGAUCGAAAGAUGAAAAGCACUUUGGAAAGAGAGUUAAAAAGCACGUGAAAUUGUUGAAAGGGAAGCGCUUGCAGCCAGACUUGCCUGUAGUUGCUCAUCUAGGUUUCUACCUAGUGCACUCUUCUAUAGGCAGGCCAGCAUCAGUUUGGGCGGUUGGAUAAAGGUCUCUGUCAUGUACCUCUCUUCGGGGAGAACUUAUAGGGGAGACGACAUGCAACCAGCCUGGACUGAGGUCCGCGCAUCUGCUAGGAUGCUGGCGUAAUGGCUGUAAGCGGCCCGUCUUGAAACACGGACCAAGGAGUCUAACAUCUAUGCGAGUGUUUGGGUGUCAAGCCCGAGCGCGUAAUGAAAGUGAACGGAGGUGGGAACCUUUCGGGGUGCACCAUCGACCGAUCCUGAUGUCUUCGGAUGGAUUUGAGUAAGAGCAUAGCUGUUGGGACCCGAAAGAUGGUGAACUAUGCUUGAAUAGGGUGAAGCCAGAGGAAACUCUGGUGGAGGCUCGCAGCGGUUCUGACGUGCAAAUCGAUCGUCAAAUUUGGGCAUAGGGGCGAAAGACUAAUCGAACUAUCUAGUAGCUGGUUCCUGCCGAAGUUUCCCUCAGGAUAGCAGUAACGUUUUCAGUUUUAUGAGGUAAAGCGAAUGAUUAGAGGCCUGGGGGUUGAAACAACCUU
rnacentral:rRNA from 1 species